UAGAAAAAGCCCAUCAAAAAGAAAUGAAAGUUACUACAGUCAGAGGUCUACCUACAAUGGUGAAGACCAAAUGUUACGCCUGAAGCCGUCGUAGCUCACUGGAAUUAAUCAUCUGCAGAUUUGGGGCGGCAAUAAGGUUUAAACUGGUCCCCUGAGGUGAUUCCAAUGUUAGAUGUCUCUAAGCUCUCACCAGAAGCUGCAGAAUCAACACCCAAGCUGAAGAAUCGUAAACCAGUUCAUUUGAAUGUUUGCUGUUAGCUCUAAGGGUUGCCCACCUGAGCAUGUGAUUUGGUGUUGCUGUGUUCUCCAUUGUAAUUUGGUACCCAACUUGGCAGUCCCCUUUUGUUCCACAUUGUUUUGGAAUUAAUGUGCGCAAUUCCUCCAAGGCAGGCCAUUCAUAAGAGAACUUUCCAACCACUGCAUAUUGGAGAUUUUCAAUGAUAUUCAUUCAUGUCACUUCUGCCUCUGUCCAACGAACUACUGGAUAUCCAUCUACAAUGUUGACAGCUUUCAUCUCAAUUGGUUUUGUAAUUGUAUUGGACUCCUUGCUUUUAAGCAAAUCUGCAUACUUUGUAUGGAUAGUAAUAGGACUGGGUAUUUGUUGUACUGA